AGCGCUUUCAGAGUCUACGGAUCCAUGACAACAGGAAACAGAAGAAAAAGAACCUCCGGAAGACACAGCUGUUCAUGCCAUACUUUGACUGUAAUGAUGGACACCUCCUUGUGGACAGAGUUCUGUGAUGUGUGGACAGACUUUGACUGUAAUGAUGGACG